rnacentral:sRNA from 1 species
GCUGGGCAUGGUGGCGCAUGCCUGUAAAUCCAGCUGCUUAGGAGGCUAAGGCAGAAGAAUUGCAAGUUCAAGGCCAGCCUCAGCUACUUAGUGAGGUCUUAAACAACUUAGCGAAACUGUGUCUUAA